UUGCCGGCUAACGGCAGGGUCUGAAGGAAGCCAUAGGAAGUAAGAUGUCCAUAGCGUUAGUGAACCUGAUUCGGCAGGUUAGGGGGGUAAGCGUGCAUAAUCUCGCAAAGCCCAAUACUUAGUCAGCCCUAACAUGUGAUUGAGGAUGGCAUAUCUUACAGGGAGUC
rfam:Oligella urethralis DNF00040 contig131, whole genome shotgun sequence.